rnacentral:rRNA from 1 species
AGUGAACGCUGGCGGCAGGCCUAACACAUGCAAGUCGAACGGCAGCACAGAGGAGCUUGCUCCUUGGGUGGCGAGUGGCGGACGGGUGAGGAAUACAUCGGAAUCUGCCUUAUCGUGGGGGGAUAACGUAGGGAAACUUACGCUAAUACCGCAUACGACCUACGGGUGAAAGCGGAGGACCUUCGGGCUUCGCGCGAUAAGAUGAGCCGAUGUCGGAUUAGCUAGUUGGCGGGGUAAAGGGCCCACCAAGGCGACGAUCCGUAGCUGGUCUGAGAGGAUGAUCAGCCACACUGGAACUGAGACACGGUCCAGACUCCUACGGGAGGCAGCAGUGGGGAAUAUUGGACAAUGGGCGCAAGCCUGAUCCAGCCAUGCCGCGUGUGUGAAGAA